rnacentral:rRNA from 1 species
UACGAAGGGGGCAAGCGUUGUUCGGAAUUACUGGGCGUAAAGGGCGCGUAGGCGGCCGAUCAAGUCAGGCGUGAAAUUCCCGGGCUCACCUGGGGCUGCGCUUGAUACUGAUUGGCUUGAAUGCGGGAGAGGAUAGUGGAAUUCCCAGUGUAGAGGUGAAAUUCGUAGAUAUUGGGAAGAACACCGGUGGCGAAGGCGGCUAUCUGGCCCGUAAUUGACGCUGAGGCGCGAAAGCGUGGGGAGCAAACAGGG